UACGGGGGGGGCAAGCGUUGUUCGGAAUUACUGGGCGUAAAGGGCUCGUAGGCGGCCAACUAAGUCAGACGUGAAAUCCCUCGGCUUAACCGGGGAACUGCGUCUGAUACUGGAUGGCUUGAGUUUGGGAGAGGGAUGCGGAAUUCCAGGUGUAGCGGUGAAAUGCGUAGAUAUCUGGAAGAACACCCGUGGCGAAGGCGGUUCUCUGGGACGGUACUGACGCUGAGACGCGAAAGCGUGGGGAGCGAACAGG
rnacentral:rRNA from 1 species